CCUAACACAUGCAAGUCGAACGGUAACAGGAAGCAGCUUGCUGCUUCGCUGACGAGUGGCGGACGGGUGAGUAAUGUCUGGGAAGCUGCCUGAUGGAGGGGGAUAACUACUGGAAACGGUAGCUAAUACCGCAUAAUGUCGCAAGACCAAAGAGGGGGACCUUCGGGCCUCUUGCCAUCGGAUGUGCCCAGAUGGGAUUAGCUUGUUGGUGGGGUAACGGCUCACCAAGGCGACGAUCCCUACCUGGUCUGAGAGGAUGACCAGCCAUACUGGAACUGAGACACGGUCCAGACUCCUACGGGAGGCAGCAGUGGGGAAUAUUGCACAAUGGGCGCAAGCCUGAUGCAGCCAUGCCGCGUGUAUGAAGAAGGCCUUCGGGUUGUAAAGUACUUUCAGCGGGGAGGAAGGGAGUAAAGUUAAUACCUUUGCUCAUUGACGUUACCCGCAGAAGAAGCACCGGCUAACU
rnacentral:rRNA from 1 species